rnacentral:ncRNA from 1 species
GGGAGCCGGAUGAGCGGAGACGUUUACGUCCGGUUCUGCGAGAAUCUGAGGGUGAAACUCCCUCGGACUACUCACC